rnacentral:rRNA from 1 species
GGUUUCCUACGCGAUGGUCGUCAUCGUAGGGUUAGUCGGGUCCUAAGCCGAGUCCGAAAGGGGUAGGUGAUGGCAAAUUGGUUAAUAUUCCAAUACCGACUAUGGAGCGUGAUGGGGGGACGCAUAGGGUUAAGCGAGCUAGCUGAUGGAAGCGCUAGUCUAAGGGUGUAGAUUGGAGGGAAGGCAAAUCCACCUCUGUAUUUGAAACCCAAACAGGCUCUUUGAGUCCUUUUAGGACAAAGGGAGAAUCGCUGAUACCGUCGUGCCAAGAAAAGCCUCUAAGCAUAUCCAUAGUCGUCCGUACCGCAAACCGACACAGGUAGAUGAGAUGAGUAUUCUAAGGCGCGUGAAAGAACUCUGGUUAAGGAACUCUGCAAACUAGCACCGUAAGUUCGCGAUAAGGUGUGCCACAGCGAUGUGGUCUCAGCAAAGAGUCCCUCCCGACUGUUUACCAAAAACACAGCACUUUGCCAACUCGUAAGAGGAAGUAUAAGGUGUGACGCCUGCCCGGUGCUCGAAGGUUAAGAGGAUGCGUCAGUCGCAAGAUGAAGCGUUGAAUUGAAGCCCGAGUAAACGGCGGCCGUAACUAUAACGGUCCUAAGGUAGCGAAAUUCCUUGUCGGUUAAAUACCGACCUGCAUGAAUGGCGUAACGAGAUGGGAGCUGUCUCAACCAGAGAUUCAGUGAAAUUGUAGUGGAGGUGAAAAUUCCUCCUACCCGCGGCAAGACGGAAAGACCCCGUGGACCUUUACUACAACUUAGCACUGCUAAUGGGAAUAUCAUGCGCAGGAUAGGUGGGAGGCUUUGAAGUAAGGGCUUUGGCUCUUAUGGAGCCAUCCUUGAGAUACCACCCUUGAUGUUUCUGUUAGCUAACUGGCCUGUGUUAUCCACAGGCAGGACAAUGCUUGGUGGGUAGUUUGACUGGGGCGGUCGCCUCCUAAAAAGUAACGGAGGCUUGCAAAGGUUGGCUCAUUGCGGUUGGAAAUCGCAAGUUGAGUGUAAUGGCACAAGCCAGCCUGACUGUAAGACAUACAAGUCAAGCAGAGACGAAAGUCGGUCAUAGUGAUCCGGUGGUUCUGUGUGGAAGGGCCAUCGCUCAAAGGAUAAAAGGUACCCCGGGGAUAACAGGCUGAUCUCCCCCAAGAGCUCACAUCGACGGGGAGGUUUGGCACCUCGAUGUCGGCUCAUCGCAUCCUGGGGCUGGAGCAGGUCCCAAGGGUAUGGCUGUUCGCCAUUUAAAGCGGUACGCGAGCUGGGUUCAGAACGUCGUGAGACAGUUCGGUCCCUAUCUGCCGUGGGCGUAGGAAAGUUGAGGAGAGCUGUCCCUAGUACGAGAGGACCGGGAUGGACGUGUCACUGGUGCACCAGUUGUUCUGCCAAGAGCAUCGCUGGGUAGCUACACACGGAUGUGAUAACUGCUGAAAGCAUCUAAGCAGGAAGCCAACUCCAAGAUGAACUUUCCCUGAAGCUCGCACAAAGACUAUGUGCUUGAUAGGGUAGAUGUGUAAGUGCAGUAAUGCGUUUAGCUGACUACUACUAAUAGAGCGUUUGGCUUGUUUUUUG